UUUUCGAUUGAUGGCACAUUAUUCUAGUCAAUUGAUUCGUUAGGAAGACGGGGAUAAAAGACCGUUAAAGAGCAUAUCUGUGAAACCGCUUGUGUUUGCUUUGGAUGCCCAAUCUAGGGUGAAUGCUGGCGAUGAGAAUAGUGGAUAGAAUGUAAUGGCAUAUAUUUAAUUCCAUUAUUCGUGGAGACCUAGAUUUGUGAUAUUUAUUACGAACUGGGAUUAAACCUAUAUGGUGGCGAAUAGUUACCUAUAGUGUAGCUUGUCUUGAGUGAAGGCUUUGGGAUUGGCAUUAGGUAUUAAUGUAUUUGGCCAAAUAUAUUAACUACUAUACCAUGAAAUUACCUUUGCAAAAGAGUACUAAUAACGAUGCGUUGGUGAGGAAAUCUCCUAGAGUGCGUUAUGAUAUGGGAUUGCAGUGGGAUCUAAGUGGCAAUCAAGUCGUAUGAUGUGGAAACACCGUACUGUCUUCUUUAAAGGGGAACCGCAAUACUGGUAACGGUAUGUAGAAGAUAGGGAAAACCUACUUGACCUAAGUCUCAAAGUUAAUCAUAUCUAUAAGCC
rnacentral:sRNA from 1 species